CCACUCUGCUAUGGCUUGCUAUUAGCUCUGAACCCCAGGUGGAGAGUUCCAUUCUCGAGAUGCUCGUCCCUGCUCCAGUACACAGCAUCUUGCAUUAAGACAUUUGCAUUCAGCUGGGGAUGGUGACUCCUGGCACCCUGUGCUGAUCUGAAAAUUGAGACAGCCACACUUUGAAGACAAUGACUGUUCUUUGGACUUUAUUGUGCUGAUGUGUGAAGUUAAACUUGAAAUCCAAAGGAAACAACUUGAAUCAACACAAUCAAAAUUUACCCUGCACUUCCUUUGCCUGAAGGAGUCUGAUCCUUCCCAUAAAGGCUAACUUUUUUUUUUUUAUGAAAUAAUCCUUUCAAAUGAAAGUCUGUCCUUUAAAUAAAUGUCUAACCUGUAAGAAGAUGAACAACCAUUUUCAUGAAAAGUCAAUUUAAUGGAGUCUGAAAUAUCAAGGUUAACAUCACCCUGUUCUGAUUCCAUGUUGAUUUUGUGAAGACAGUUCUCAGUCCUUUACCCCACCCUCCAAUAUCCACACAUUCAGAAUUCCAUGGACUUGACCUUGGUCCAGAUGUAUUCACCCAAAUAAUUAAAGUAAGCCAAAAUAUCAAAAAACUAUAGACAAGAAAAACACCUGCCUUAACAUGUCAGGAAUGAGCAUUUCAAGAUUACCCUGAUCAUUAUCUAACUUUGAUGUGAAUUAUUGUCUUUGUGGCUUUUCCCUUUAAAAAUUAGGUAUGCAAAGCUUGGUUUCCAAGAGAUUUUUCAGAGGCAUGAGACUAUUGUGUAUCUGACCAUCAAUAAAAAGUACUUAAAACUUUUA